rnacentral:tRNA from 1 species
GCCCGGAUGGCGGAAAUGGUAGACGCACGGGACUUAAAAUCCCGCGAAUUUUAUUCGUGCCGGUUCGACCCCGGCUCCGGGCACCA